GAGUUUGAUUCUGGCUCAGAACGAACGCUGGCGGCAGGCCUAACACAUGCAAGUCGAGCGCAGUCCUUCGGGACCGAGCGGCGGACGGGUUAGUAACGCGUGGGAACAUACCCUUUUCUACGGAAUAGCCUCGGGAAACUGAGAGUAAUACCGUAUAAGCCCUUCGGGGGAAAGAUUUAUCGGGAAAGGAUUGGCCCGCGUUAGAUUAGAUAGUUGGUGGGGUAAUGGCCUACCAAGUCUACGAUCUAUAGCUGGUUUUAGAGGAUGAUCAGCAACACUGGGACUGAGACACGGCCCAGACUCCUACGGGAGGCAGCAGUGGGGAAUCUUAGACAAUGGGCGCAAGCGUGAUCUAGCCAUGCCGCGUGUGUGAUGGAGGUCUUAGGAUCGUAAAGCACUUUCGCCAGGGAUGAUAAUGACAGUACCUGGUAAAGAAACCCCGGCUAACUCCGUGCCAGCAGCCGCGGUAAUACGGAGGGGGUUAGCGUUGUUCGGAAUUACUGGGCGUAAAGCGUACGUAGGCGGAUCAGAAAGUUAGGGGUGAAAUCCCGAGGCUCAACCUCGGAACUGCCUCUAAAACUCCUGGUCUUGAGUUCGAGAGAGGUGAGUGGAAUUCCAAGUGUAGAGGUGAAAUUCGUAGAUAUUUGGAGGAACACCAGUGGCGAAGGCGGCUCACUGGCUCGAUACUGACGCUGAGGUACGAAAGUGUGGGGAGCAAACAGGAUUAGAUACCCUGGUAGUCCACACCGUAAACGAUGAAUGCCAGUCGUCGGGCAGUAUACUGUUCGGUGACACACCUAACGGAUUAAGCAUUCCGCCUGGGAAGUACGGUCGCAAGAUUAAAACUCAAAGGAAUUGACGGGGGCCCGCACAAGCGGUGGAGCAUGUGGUUUAAUUUGAAGCAACGCGCAGAACCUUACCAACCCUUGACAUCCUGUGCUAACUCGAGAGAUCGAGUGUUUACUUCGGUAACGCAGUGACAGGUGCUGCAUGGCUGUAGUCAGCUCGUGUCGUGAGAUGUUCGGUUAAGUCCGGCAACGAGCGCAACCCACAUCCUUAGUUGCCAGCAGUUCGGCUGGGCACUCUAGGGAAACUGCCCGUGAUAAGCGGGAGGAAGGUGUGGAUGACGUCAAGUCCUCAUGGCCCUUACGGGUUGGGCUACACACGUGCUACAAUGACAGUGACAAUGGGUUAAUCCCAAAAAGCUGUCUCAGUUUGGAUUGGGGUCUGCAACUCGACCCCAUGAAGUCGGAAUCGCUAGUAAUCGCGUAACAGCAUGACGCGGUGAAUACGUUCCCGGGCCUUGUACACACCGCCCGUCACACCAUGGGAGUUGGUUCUACCCGACGACGCUGCGCUAACCCUUCGGGGAGGCAGGCGGCCACGGUAGGAUCAGCGACUGGGGUGAAGUUGUAACAAGGUAGCCGU
rnacentral:rRNA from 1 species